rnacentral:lncRNA from 1 species
CAAAUUCAAGGCUUCAGGAUAGCCUGAAUUCCUGUGACAGGAAAACAACCCAAAAGGCUGGGAGGAGGAGUGGGGGGGAUGUUUCAGUGACUGUUUGCCUCAAAUGUUUAGGCUCUUGAAAGCGUCUGGGAAUGUAGAAGGCUUUUCAGCUGCAUGGUCAAUUAAGAGACAGGUUGUUCCACAGGUUCUUGCUUUGUUGCUUAAGUGUGGGUUCUGUUAGACAUCUAGACAUCAUUAAAGCUCUUGCCAAAAGUAUCAUUUUUUCC